GAUGAACGCUGGCGGCGUGCCUAAUACAUGCAAGUCGAGCGAAGCGGGGACGGGUGAGUAACACGUGGAUAACCUCCUAUAAGACUGGGAUAACUUCGGGAAACCGGAGCUAAACCGGAUACUUAUAGAUGGAUCCGCGCUGCAUUAGCUAGUUGGUAAGGUAACGGCUUACCAAGGCAACGAUGCAUAGCCGACCUGGGAGGGUGGCCGGCCAAACUGAAACGAGGAAGGGGUCCAAACCCUUAGGGAGGCCGGCAUAGGGGAUUCUCCCGCAUGGGCGGAAGCCCGACCGGGCAACGGCCGGGGGGUGAUGAAGGUCUUCGGAUCGUAAAACUCUGUUAUUAGGGAAGCGGUACCUAAUCAGAAAGCCACGGCUAACUACGUGCCAGCAGCCGCGGUAAUAC
rnacentral:rRNA from 1 species